CGAAGUCAAGAGGAGCUUGCUCUUUUUGACUUAGUGGCGAACGGGUGAGUAACGCGUGAGGAACCUGCCUCAAAGAGGGGGACAACAGUUGGAAACGACUGCUAAUACCGCAUAAGCCCACAGCUCCGCAUGGAGCAGAGGGAAAAGGAGCAAUCCGCUUUGAGAUGGCCUCGCGUCCGAUUAGCUAGUUGGUGAGGUAACGGCCCACCAAGGCGACGAUCGGUAGCCGGACUGAGAGGUUGAUCGGCCACAUUGGGACUGAGACACGGCCCAGACUCCUACGGGAGGCAGCGGUGGGGAAUAUUGCACAAUGGGGGAAACCCUGAUGCAGCGACGCCGCGUGGAGGAAGAAGGUCUUCGGAUUGUAAACUCCUGUUGUUGGGGAAGAUAAUGACGGUACCCAACAAGGAAGUGACGGCUAACUACGUGCCAGCAGCCGCGGUAAAACGUAGGUCACAAGCGUUGUCCGG
rnacentral:rRNA from 1 species